rnacentral:rRNA from 1 species
AAUAGAUACCCCGGUAGUCCACGCCGUAAACGAUGAGUGCUAAGUGUUAGGGGGUUUCCGCCCCUUAGUGCUGCAGCUAACGCAUUAAGCACUCCGCCUGGGGAGUACGGUCGCAAGACUGAAACUCAAAGGAAUUGACGGGGGCCCGCACAAGCGGUGGAGCAUGUGGUUUAAUUCGAAGCAACGCGAAGAACCUUACCAGGUCUUGACAUCCCACUGACCGCUAUGGAGACAUAGUUUUCCCUUCGGGGACAGUGGUGACAGGUGGUGCAUGGUUGUCGUCAGCUCGUGUCGUGAGAUGUUGGGUUAAGUCCCGCAACGAGCGCAACCUUUGAUCUUAGUUGCCAUCAUUUAGUUGGGCACUCUAAGGUGACUGCCGGUGACAAACCGGAGGAAGGUGGGGAUGACGUCAAAUCAUCAUGCCCCUUAUGACCUGGGCUACACACGUGCUACAAUGGACGGUACAAACGGUUGCCAACCCGCGAGGGGAGCUAAUCCGAUAAAAUCGUUCUCAGUUCGGAUUGUAGGCUGCAACUCGCCUA